rnacentral:sRNA from 1 species
ACAUUACCAGUACUUGAUUCUCCCAUCUUUAUGCGCUACGGCAUCCGAGGACAGAGCAACUCCCUCCCACACUUCCACGCUUCCUUAAGGUCACUCAUUGUCGCCCUCGGCAGAUCUUCGUGCCCAAUACGUGUAUCACGAACAUCAAGUAAGCGGUUCCCAUUACUGAUGAACCUCUGUUUGCGCUUCCUAGACAAUUCCCUCCAUUUCAUAUCAUCAUUUCUAUCUUCAUCUUCCGCCUUGUCCACCUCCACUUCUAGAGCUUGGCACCACAGGGCGACAAUAAGACCCUCUGCAUCCGCCUCGCAUACUUCAACAAGCAUCAUGGCCACAUCCCAAAAAGUUUCCAAAAGGUAAAAAUCGGCAGUAUGUAUAAAAAGCCAUACGGCGUCUAGCAGACUGAGGUUGUCGUAAACGAUUUGCGCAUAGUUGUUGGAUCCGUCAUUCCGAGGAAGGUUGGACCUGAAGUCUCGAAGAAUGAUAAUGGCACCGCGGAAAAAGGCCUUGUACAGGUACUCAUCCAGCUCGACUUCGGCAGUUGGAGGAGGUAAACCGACAAUCUCGAAUAAUCGGCAGCAGUGAUCAAGGACUCCCAAUGACUCCCCGCAUAGCAUCUGCUCGUCGACAAACAUUGCGGAUAUGUUGACGAACAUCUCAGGAAUGCGUGAUUUUGUCUUUUUGUCCAGGAGUGUUUCAAGGAACUGGAUUAGAACCGGAAAGGAUCCAUCAGCAUUUACCCAGGCAAAAUAUGUCUGUAAUGGAGUCUACUCACACCCAAUGUCAUUGUCAGUGAUGUGCGAAAUAUGAGGAUUUUGGUCGGCGGGUUCUUUACUUCACCAUCAGUUUUAUUGUCAAGAGUCUUUGAAUUUGGCGCAUCUACCUCGCCAUUGUCAUUUUCCUCCACAUCAUCCCAUUCUGGUGCACUGGCUGCGACUGGUCUAGGCUGUAAAGGCGCACCAGCAUAAUACUCAAUAUGCUGUCCUCUCUGGGAAGACCAACUCGAUGCAGCCGGACUGUUUAUAACAUUUAAACCCCCCAUAAAUGGAUCGAUCGUCCAGUGGGGAACUGAAUUUGAAGCCUCUCUUCCCAUAGGACUAGGUCGAGAGAUGGAUCUCUGUGCGAGAGGAGAUGAGGGGGCGGAACCUCCAGAUUGAUCCGGAUAAAGUCUCCGGUGUGGUGAGCUGGGCAUUUGUGCACUGGGACUCUGGACGAUAACUAUACUAGACUCGGCGUAAGGCUCAAAUGGAGGAUCCAGAGAAUCGAUAAAACUGUCUCCUUCUUCCCACAGGUCCGAGCCGGGAGAAUGAGGCCUAUGAUCAGCAGGAUUGUAAUCUGUGAAUGUACGGCGCUGAGGACUCGGAGUUGAAGGCCGUGUGGGCGAGUAAGAGGGCAGAGCGGCGAAAGAAGAGGCCAAAGGAGAUUGCCUUUCCCGACUUUGACUUGUGGAAAAUUCGACGUGAAGUGGUAAAUCGUCCUCAUCGUCGUCGAAGUCGAGGCGCAGUGAUUCAGCAACUAAAGUUGAGAUGUGGCGCGCCCGAGAAAUCUGAGAACUAGAUGAUGAGGGCGAACGAGGCCGGUUUAGGGGAGGUUGGGAUCGGGGCGGGGUAUGAGGCGACCUAAGGGUUGCGAUGGGCAAAGGGCUAAAGUGAAUGGUAGGCGUGCGAGAUCGAUCAGGUAGUGGCUCGUCCAUGUCACUUUGCCAGAUGAGUUGCAGAGCUUCAGGCCGCGACUGGGCGUCCAUGCUAAGUUGCUCUUUAGAGUAUGGCUUAUGAAAGGGUAAAGAGGAAGAGCUACUAUUGAGGAAGAUGGCAUUUGCCAACAACAGCAAAAGAGAUCCGUGCGUCAAAAAAAGGUCGCGUUGGUUGAGCACUGAAUCUAAAAGAACUGAUCCAACAAUCAGGCUGACUUGGAUCACGAUGAAAAUGAAGGCUUCGACAAUAGCCGAGAGAAAGACCAGGUUCCGGCUCGGUACAUCGGCAACAACCCUUUACCGCCAACUUUGUCCUUUUCUGGGAUAGAAGUUAAUCAUCACUUGAGUCCUUCAUCCGUUUAUUUUGGCACAAUAAGGAGACUCGGUACCUUGGCAAGUCCAUCUGCCAGUAAUCCAAACUUACUACAUGUACAUGAAGGAAAACGGCGGUUCGCAACGUAAGGAGCGAAUGAGCUCAGUUCAUCCCCAUUCAUAUAUAGUGUUAAUUAUACGCGCAUAUGCAUGACGACGCCA